rnacentral:misc_RNA from 1 species
AAAAAAUUUAAAACAAGGAAAAAUAUAACAGAUGAGUUUUCACAGAACGUAAAAAGCUGAAGCUGUCCAAGUUAACAGAAUAUUAGACUGCCAUCAGAUGGGUCGAUUGUUCGUAUCACGUUACUGGAGCUAUUUCAUGCCAACUUCUAAUGUAGUUUUCUCUCAAAAGCCCCAAUGGCUAGGCUGUGGAAAAUGAAUAAAGAACUUUUCAACCAACUGGCAGCUCGUGUGGCUGGCAUUAAACACUUGAAGGUUAAUUCCCAUUUGAAAAUAACUGUAUUUGGUGUAUCCCUUGGAGUUGCACUUAUAGGAUUGCUCACAUUGCUGUUACGGAAAAAGGAAAAGAAGAAAAGACCCUCAGAUCGGAAGAGUACUCAAACAAAAUUAUCACGUUCAAGAGCCGCUGUAUCUGGUACAAAUGGAGAUGUUGCCUGGUCUAAGAAUUGUUCAAGUCCCACUUCAAGUCGCUCAUUUAUAAGAAAUAAAGCUUUGUCUGUGUCUAAUUCUAACUCAAGCUUGGCCUCGUCAACAUCAACACUGACCCAUUCUGUUGUAGAAACAACAGAAUUUACAGCUGCACAGCUCUGCCAGUUAGGGCUUGAAAAUUUAGACAUGGCAAUUUCACACUGGGAAGAUGCUUUAGCUAAACUUUCCUUUCUAGAUGCUGAAGAUUCUUUGGACCAAUUAGCUAUUCCGGACACAGAAACUAGUGUUUUGCAACAUCAGUUAGAAAAUUUGCUUGAGCUAGCACUCCGUAUGCAAGAUGGCUUUGAACGUUCAUGUGAACGACAAGCUGACCAGGCAGCUCUCGAAUCAGCACUUGCUGCAUUUGCAGAGAUUGACAGAAUUCGUUCAGAGAAGCAAUAUUCUACCGAUCUGGAGUCAUCUGAAGACCAAGAGUCUUUUGUUUCAGCAACUGACAUGGCUGACUUGACUGAUGUUGAUACUUAUAGAGAUUUAUUCAAACGACUGCCCCUAUAUGAAGCAGCACUUCAAGAACACAAAUACAAUGGGAUUGCCUAUCGCACUAUUCGAACGCAUAUGGUAGGUUGUUUGAAAGAUGCUGAAUUUCUUGCUAAACUGCAUUGUCUUCGAGAAGGAUUUAAUAUUGUUUUCAAAGACGUGGAAACUAGAAGAUGGUUACAAGAAAUGGGAUGUAACAUAAUAGCAGGAUUGUUACAGAAAGCCGAUAGGGAUACUGAAGAGUUCUACCAGGCUUAUCAAGAUAUGAUGGACUACAUCAAUGAUGAUAGCCAUCGGUUACAGAUGGAGGAAGAACUUAGAGAAAAAGGAGUGAAAAAAUGUACUUUCUAUGAUGUGUUCUUAGACUUUAUACUGCUGGAUGCAUUUGAUGAUUUAGAGAAUCCCCCGAAAUCUGUGGUUGCUGUGGUCCAAAACCAGUGGUUAUCUAAUGGAUUUAAAGAAACUGCACUGUCUACAGCUGUGUGGUCAGUUUUGAAAGCUAAAAGAAGAAUGCUCAAGUUCCCACAUGGUUUUAUAUCUUACUUUUAUUCCAUCUCUGAACUAAUUACUCCAGUUCUUGUAUGGGGUUUGCUUGGCCCACAAUCCAAUUUAAAAACUAUUUGCUGUGCAUUUAAGGAUAUAGUGUAUAACUUCAUCAAAGACAUCUUCAGCUUCGAAAAAGUACGAUUCACUACGCAAGAGGACAUGGGAAGUGACUUGUUACGUAUUGUGAAAGAAUAUGUCAGUAUUGCUGAAAAUAAGCUAUGUUCUGCAAAUGUAUAGCUUCUGUUCAUUUUAAUAAUGAACAGCCAAUUCCACAUAUAUAAAAGUAUACUCAUCUCUUGGUUGACCAGUGAGAGUUACAUAUAUGUGUAUAUAUAUUUAUAUAUAUACGUACAUACAGUUUCUGUGUGCAUAUAUAUGUAUG